ensembl:lncRNA
CAAACAUGAGAUCUUGUGGCUGCAGCCCCCUACAGAGAAGAGUGUUCAUGGAAAAUAUUGAACCCGGGGGUUGCAGUGGUAAUGCCUAAAAAGGAAGCAAGGGGAACAGGAUAAGUGACGACAGCAUGCUCCCCCUGGGGAGUGUUCUGCUGUAAUUCAGAUCUUAAAAAUUCUGAUGAGAGGAAAUGGGAUUGAACCAGCGCAGCACCUUCAAGAUGAUUCAGGGCUCGGAUGGAAGCAGUGGCUGAGGAGAGCCUGGGCCCCUGUGAGCCCCUCCUGAUCAUUGCCCAACAUGCCCGUGUGCCCUGCUGGUCCUGCCCUGUCCACUAUGAAGGCCAUUGGGUCUUCCCAGGCUGCAGCUCAAAUCCAUCCUCGCUUGUCCUGAACAAAGCCAGGAAGCGUGCUCUUCUCCUCCUCCCCUGCAGCUGGUGAUGCGUUUGGAGGCAUUAACCUCUCUGUUUGGUCUUUAUCUAUUUAUUUAUUUUUAAAGAGACAGUGCCAUCCUUGGCUCCAUUUUUUUCCUCUCCUGUGAGCUGUCCUCAGCUGCUGGCUCCACUAUGGGUGUCCGUGCUCCCAGCAGCGUCGCUGACAGAGAACAGGCUUGCAGCGUGUGCCAUCUCCUCCUUCCCUGGAUCUCUCUGCUGCUUUUUGGCCUUUCCAUGGGAUGCCCCGCUGCCAUAGCCAAGCACUUGUAGGUGUAAACCCAACCGAUGCUCCCAUGCAAAACCGUCAGCAAACCCGUGCCGUCAUUCCAGUGUGCCAGCAGCAUCCACUUUGUCUUCAGGGACUGACCACAGCGGAGGCGUUCUCCUUCCAUCUGCCCUGAGAGGCUCUAAAAAAAUAAUAAAAAAAUAAAAAAUGGAGCACG